AACGGUAGCACAGAGGAGCUUGCUCCUCGGGUGACGAGUGGCGGACGGGUGAGUAAUGUCUGGGAAACUGCCCGAUGGAGGGGGAUAACUACUGGAAACGGUAGCUAAUACCGCAUAACGUCGCAAGACCAAAGUGGGGGACCUUCGGGCCUCACACCAUCGGAUGUGCCCAGAUGGGAUUAGCUAGUAGGUGGGGUAACGGCUCACCUAGGCGACGAUCCCUAGCUGGUCUGAGAGGAUGACCAGCCACACUGGAACUGAGACACGGUCCAGACUCCUACGGGAGGCAGCAGUGGGGAAUAUUGCACAAUGGGCGCAAGCCUGAUGCAGCCAUGCCGCGUGUAUGAAGAAGGCCUUCGGGUUGUAAAGUACUUUCAGCGGGGAGGAAGGCGAUGCGGUUAAUAACCGCGUCGAUUGACGUUACCCGCAGAAGAAGCACCGGCUAACUCCGUGCCAGCAGCCGCGGUAAUACGGAGGGUGCAAGCGUUAAUCGGAAUUACUGGGCGUAAAGCGCACGCAGGCGGUCUGUCAAGUCGGAUGUGAAAUCCCCGGGCUUAACCUGGGAACUGCAUUCGAAACUGGCAGGCUAGAGUCUUGUAGAGGGGGGUAGAAUUCCAGGUGUAGCGGUGAAAUGCGUAGAGAUCUGGAGGA
rnacentral:rRNA from 1 species